UGGGGAAUAUUGCACAAUGGAGGGAACUCUGAUGCAGCAACGCCGCGUGCGGGAUGACGGCCUUCGGGUUGUAAACCGCUUUCAGCCAUGACGAAGCUUUUGUGACGGUAGUGGUAGAAGAAGCACCGGCUAACUACGUGCCAGUAGCCGCGGUGAUACGUAGGGUGCGAGCGUUGUCCGGAAUUAUUGGGCGUAAAGAGCUUGUAGGCGGUUUGUCGCGUCGAUAGUGUAAACACGCAGCUUAACUGUGUGCCUGCUGUCGAUACGGGCUGACUAGAGGAGGGUAGGGGAGAAUGGAAUUCCCGGUGGAGCGGUGGAAUGCGCAGAUAUCGGGAGGAACACCAGUGGCGAAGGCGGUUCUCUGGACCUUUCCUGACGCUGAGAAGCGAAAGCGUGGGUAGCAAACAGG
rnacentral:rRNA from 1 species